rnacentral:hammerhead_ribozyme from 1 species
AUCCAUAUGAUGAAUCCAAACCAGGAGGAAAUGCGCAUCCUGGAU